rnacentral:rRNA from 1 species
AACGAACGCUGGCGGCGUGCCUAACACAUGCAAGUCGAACGAGAAAGGGGCUUCGGCUCCGAGUAAAGUGGCGCACGGGUGAGUAACACGUGGGUAACCUGCCUCUCAGAUUGGGAUAACUCGUCGAAAGAUGAGCUAAUACCGAAUAAGACCACAGUUCCCGCGGGAACAGGGGUCAAAGGUAGCCUCUGCUUGCAAGCUAUCACUUAGAGAUGGGCCUGCGCACCAUUAGCUAGUUGGUAGGGUAACGGCCUACCAAGGCAAAGAUGGUUAGCUGGUCUGAGAGGAUGAUCAGCCACACUGGAACUGAGACACGGUCCAGACUCCUACGGGAGGCAGCAGGGGGGAAUAUUGCGCAAGGGGCGAAAGCUUGACGCAGCAACGCCGCGUGAGGGAUGAAGGCCGUCGGGUCGUAAAGCUCUGUCGGGAGGAACGAAUGCUCCUGAGGUUAACAGCCUCGGGAGGUGACGGUACCUUCAAAGGAAGCACCGGCUAACUCUGUG